UGUUACCAAAAAAAAAAAAAAAGAGAGAGAGAGAUUUGUUUCUCAUAAUUUAUCUUUCUGUUAAUAUUGCAUAACUCCAUGUCUUUGCCUUUUGCUUGCUCAUCAGCUCAGCCCAGAAAUGCCAAACUGGACAAUGCCAGAACUGUUCCAGCCCUUUGUUUGCUGACUGAAGGAACAUUGCCCAAAGCCUGGGAUGCAUGGAGAAUCCUGGAAGGAAUCUGCUUAGGAGGAUUACCAGAAGCCUGCAUCCAAGUACAGACAUGUUUGGGACUUUCUUUCAGUUUGUCCACUUUGCCUUCUGGGUCCCUCCUGAAGCUCUUUGGUGCUGACAGCAGAAGACUUCACAAAUUAUCUACAAAUUCACUUAAUUCCUCACUCUUUAAUUUAUGCAGGUGUGUGGAAAUAAUGAGUGUUGUCAUCAACAUGAAGGAAGUAGCCAGAAGAAAAAUCCUUCAGCUCCCAGCUGGGUGA
rnacentral:lncRNA from 1 species